rnacentral:lncRNA from 1 species
CUUUAUAUGAUAUUGCUUUGUUUUUGUGCUUUGGGUUACUGUGUAUUGUCCUUUUGCAAGUAAAUUACUUUGUUGUGUGGGGGAUGUGUCGGCUGCAACUGUUACAUUUUAUAUAAAUACGUGUCACUACUACAAAAAGUGAAAAAGACGACCAGAAAACAACGACGGUCUAAGUGAAAACCGUCGUGGUUUUUAAAAAGACGACGGUUCUAAAAACA